GAGGAACUCCUGGCCAGAUGUGCGUGACGGGCAAUCGGCCACCUGAGCCAUAAGCCAGCCCUCUCGAAAGGAUGCAGGAGGAAGCUGCACAUCAUUCCAUCACAUGUGCGAUGACAACACCUGUUGGUUUUGCAAUGGGCGUGAAGGAGGAGGCCCAGAAGACACCAGUGUCUCUCGAUGUGAAGCUGGAUAGAAUUCAGUCCUGGCAUUCAAGUGCCUGAGAUGUGGGAUCCCUCCAUUUCUAACCUCCCCUUCUUUUCAGGCACAUCAUUUCCUGCCUUCCGCAUGCAUUUGAUGAACAUCAGUUUGCAUAUAGAACUAAUAGAUCCGCAGAGGACGCUACAGCCAUCACUCUCCACACGGCUCUGACUCAUCUGGAACAGUGGGCGACCUGUGUGAGGAUGCUUUUCGUAGACUUUAGCUCUGCAUUCAACACAAUCCUUCCACAUAAACUUAUGGAUCUUGAGCUUCCAUAUUCAAUCUGUUCUUGGAUUUUGGACUUCCUGUCUGGCUGCUCCCAGAGGGUUGGAUUUAGGCAAUUAUAUCUCCUCAGCUCUUACUCUCAACACUGGCUCCCCACAGGGCUGCGUGUUGAGUCCCUUACUUUACACUCAUUAUACAUAUGACUGUACCCCCACUCACUCCAGCAAUAUUAUAAUUAAUUUUGAAGAUGA